AACGAACGCUGGCGGCGUGGAUUAGGCAUGCAAGUCGAACGCGAAAGAGGGGGCAACCCCUCAAGUAGAGUGGCGAACGGGUGAGUAACGCGUGAAGAACCUGCCUUCGAGAGGGGGAUAACACUCCCAACGGGGUGCUAAUACCGCAUGAGACCACGGGUCCACCUGGACCUGAGGUCAAAGGUGGCCUCUGCUUGCAAGCUACCGCUCGAAGAUGGCUUCGCGUCCCAUUAGCUAGUUGGCGGUGUAACGGACCACCAAGGCGACGAUGGGUAGCUGGUCUGAGAGGAUGGUCAGCCACACUGGGACUGAGAUACGGCCCAGACUCCUACGGGAGGCAGCAGUCGAGAGGCUUUGUCAAUGGGGGAAACCCUGAACAAGCGACGCCGCGUGGAGGAUGAAGGCCCUUGGGUUGUAAACUCCUUUUGCUGGGGAAGAAGUGCGAUCAGGUGAACAAUCUGGUCGUUUGACGGUACCCAGCGAGUAAGCUCCGGCUAACUCCGUGCCAGCAGCCGCGGUAACACGGGGGGAGCAAGCGUUGUUCGGAAUCACUGGGCGUAAAGGGCGUGUAGGCGGUCAGAUAAGUGGAAUGUGAAAUGCCCCGGCUCACCCGGGGACCGGCAUCCCAAACUGUCUGGCUUGAGUAUGGGAGAGG
rnacentral:rRNA from 1 species